CUCAAAGGAAUUGACGGGGAGCACUACAACGGGUGGAGCCUGCGGUUUAAUUGGACUCAACGCCGGAAAACUCACCGGGGGCGACAGCAAUAUGUAGGUCAAGCUAAAGACUUUACCAGAAUCGCUGAGAGGAGGUGCAUGGCCGUCGUCAGUUCGUACUGUGAAGCAUCCUGUUAAGUCAGGCAACGAGCGAGACCCACGCCAACAGUUGCCAGCUCGUCCUCCGGGAUGGAGGGGACACUGUUGGGACCGCCUCUGCUAAAGAGGAGGAAGGAAUGGGCAACGGUAGGUCAGCAUGCCCCGAAUUAUCUGGGCUACACGCGGGCUACAAUGGGUGGGACAAUGGGUAUCGACACCGAAAGGUGAAGGCAAUCUCCUAAACCCAUCCUUAGUUCGGAUUGUGGGCUGCAACUCGCCCACAUGAAGCUGGAAUCUGUAGUAAUCGUGUUUCAAAAUAGCACGGUGAAUAUCGUCCCUGCUCCUU
rnacentral:rRNA from 1 species